rnacentral:rRNA from 1 species
UACGUAGGGUGCUAGCGUUGUUCGGAACCAUUGGGCGUAAAGCGCGUGUAGGCGGUUUGUUAAGUCGAAUGUGAAAUCCCCCGGCUCAACCGAGGAAGUGCAUUCGAAACUAACUAGCUAGAAGAUGGCAGAGGAAGGUGGAAUUCCAAGUGUAGAGGUGAAAUUCGUAGAUAUUUGGAGGAAUACCGGUGGCGAAGGCGGCCUCUGGACCAUUCUUGGACGCUGAGACGCGAAAGCGUGGGUAGCAAACAGG